UAGUCCACGCCGUAAACGAUGUCUACUAGCCGUUGGGAGACUUGAUUUCUUAGUGGCGCAGCUAACGCACUAAGUAGACCGCCUGGGGAGUACGGCCGCAAGGUUAAAACUCAAAUGAAUUGACGGGGGCCCGCACAAGCGGUGGAGCGUGUGGUUUAAUUCGAAGCAACGCGCAGGACCUUACCAGCCCUUGACAUCCCGAUCGCGAUUUCCAGAGAUGGAUUUCUUCAGCUAGGCUGGAUCGGUGACAGGUGCUGCAUGGCUGUCGUCAGCUCGUGUCGUGAGAUGUUGGGUUAAGUCCCGCAACGAGCGCAACCCUCGCCUUUAGUUGCCAGCAUUUAGUUGGGCACUCUAGAGGUACUGCCGGUGAUAAGCCGGAGGAAGGUGGGGAUGACGUCAAGUCCUCAUGGCCCUUAUGGGCUGGGCUACACACGUGCUGCAAUGGCAAUGACAGAGGGCAGCGACUUCGCGAGGAGGAGCUAAUCCCUAAAAGUU
rnacentral:rRNA from 1 species